rnacentral:rRNA from 1 species
CGGCGGACGGGUGAGUAACGCGUGGGUAACCUGCCUCAUACAGGGGGAUAACAGUUAGAAAUGACUGCUAAUACCGCAUAAGCACAUAGUACCGCAUGGUACAGUGUGAAAAACUCCGGUGGUAUGAGAUGGACCCGCGUCUGAUUAGCUGGUUGGCGGGGUAACGGCCCACCAAGGCGACGAUCGGUAGCCGGACUGAGAGGUUGAACGGCCACAUUGGGACUGAGACACGGCCCAG